rnacentral:rRNA from 1 species
GACGAACGCUGGCGGCGUGCCUAAUACAUGCAAGUUGAGCGCUGAAGGUUGGUACUUGUACCAACUGGAUGAGCAGCGAACGGGUGAGUAACGCGUGGGGAAUCUGCCUUUGAGCGGGGGACAACAUUUGGAAACGAAUGCUAAUACCGCAUAAAAACUUUAAACACAAGUUUUAAGUUUGAAAGAUGCAAUUGCACCACUCAAAGAUGAUCCCGCGUUGUAUUAGCUAGUUGGUGAGGUAAAGGCUCACCAAGGCGAUGAUACAUAGCCGACCUGAGAGGGUGAUCGGCCACAUUGGGACUGGGACACGGCCCAAACUCCUACGGGAGGCAGCAGUAGGGAAUCUUCGGCAAUGGACGAAAGUCUGACCGAGCAACGCCGCGUGAGUGAAGAAGGUUUUCGGAUCGUAAAACUCUGUUGGUAGAGAAGAACGUUGGUGAGAGUGGAAAGCUCAUCAAGUGACGGUAACUACCCAGAAAGGGACGGCUAACUACGUG